GACGUAGGGUGCGAGCGUUGUCCGGAUUUAUUGGGCGUAAAGAGCUCGUAGGCGGCUCGUCGCGUCGACCGUGAAAACCCGCGGCUUAACUGCGGGCUUGCGGUUGAUACGGGCGGGCUAGAGUUCGGUAGGGGAGACUGGAAUUCCUGGUGUAGCGGUGAAAUGCGCAGAUAUCAGGAGGAACACCGGUGGCGAAGGCGGGUCUCUGGGCCGAUACCGACGCUGAGGAGCGAAAGCGUGGGGAGCGAACAGG
rnacentral:rRNA from 1 species